CGCGUGCUAUUCCGAGUAAUAACUUCGUGCUGCAUAUUGCUCGUCUUCCAUUAUUAUUCUUAUUAAUUUUACAUUUUGUUUCUUAUAAUUUUUUUUUUUUUUGUGGCUUGUGAAGUGAAUUGUUAAGUGUUGACAGUAUGGAUUCUACACGCCCAAAAGAAAAAAAACACUUUAUUUUCUUAUUUUUCUACAAAUACAAAUAAAAAAAUUUGUUUCGAAAAUGUUGAGGUAUCGUCUAAAGAAGUAGAUGCUCGAUUAGUGUCAUCUAUCGCAUCCACAUCAAAACCUACGACAAGUAGCCCUUAGCUGACACAAUUGGAAUUCAGACCAAUGUACUCUCCCAAUAAAACCACCACAGAUACUGAAUAUACCUAUGCAGACUUAUCAAAGAAAAAUAUGUGGACAAUUUAUUCAAUAUUGAGUUAACAAUAAAAGUUUUUUUUGUAUAUUUGAGAAUAGUUUUAGGAUCAGCUUAUUUAACAUAUUUUGU